ACAAGAGAUGCAUUUCUUCUGGACCUGACAGUGCAACGUAUACACCUACAACUGUUCUGGUCUGCUGUUAAAUGCCAAAGGAAGAAGAGCGGUAAAUGUCAUUCUACAGCUUCAAUGACGGUGCAGAGACACCAAGAUUCGGAAGACCUGGAAUUGCUGACCAAUCGGAGCAGACUGGGCUUUUACAAGAGGAGGGCUUUAAGAGACUAAAACAGAGCAUUUCAGACAGAAAGAUUACGGAAAAAGUACUGGAUGAUUUUCAUAAAACUUGGUGAAAGGAUGCAGAACGGGCCAAGGAAGAUCUCAUUACAUUUUGGGAGCCUGGUCUCACACUGAAGUCGUCGAAAUCCCACACUUGGACACUGAUGUGUGGCAUCAGAAACCAACGAAAAAAAUCCAUCCUUUAACAUCGGCAUCAGCUGGACAAGGAUGAAAGUUAAG